UAGGGAAUAUUGCACAAUGAGCGAAAGCUUGAUGCAGCAACGCCGCGUGCGCGAUGACGGCCUUCGGGCUGUAAAGCGCUUUUCGGGGAGAUGAGGAAGGACAGUAUCCCCGGAAUAAGUCUCGGCUAACUACGUGCCAGCAGCCGCGGUAACACGUAGGAGGCAAGCGUUAUCCGAAUUUACUGGGCGUAAAGCGCGUGCAGGCGGUUCGGUAAGUUGGAUGUGAAAUCUCCCGGCUCAACUGGGAGGGGACGUUCAAUACUGUCG
rnacentral:rRNA from 1 species